GACGAACGCUGGCGGCGUGCUUAACACAUGCAAGUCGAACGGUAAGGCCCUUCGGGGUACACGAGUGGCGAACGGGUGAGUAACACGUGGGUGAUCUGCCCUGCACUUCGGGAUAAGCCUGGGAAACUGGGUCUAUACCGGAUAGGACUCCUGGCUUCAUGGUUGGGGGUGGAACGCUUGUGCGGUGUGGGAUGGGCCCGCGGCCUAUCAGCUUGUUGGUGGGGUAAUGGCCUACCAAGGCGACGACGGGUAGCCGGCCGGAGAGGGUGACCGGUCAAACUGGGAAUGGGAUAGGGCUCAGACUCCUACGGGUGGCAGCAGUGGGGAAUAUUGCACAAUGGGCGCAAGCCUGAUGCAGCGACGCCGCGUGAGGGAUGACGGCCUUCGGGUUGUAAACCUCUUUCAGCUAUGACGAAGCGCAAGUGACGGUAGGAGCAGAAGAAGGACCGGCCAACUACGUGCCAGCCGCUGCCGUAA
rnacentral:rRNA from 1 species